CCACUGUCCCAAUAAAAUAGACAACCUUCUUCUGGUCUCUUCCCAAGGCCCAAUCCCGAUACUUCCCCCUCUGACACCACCUCCACUCAUUCUCUUAGACUUCAUCGCUAACAUCGCCUACACCGAACAAAACAAGCCAGUAAUACACAAUAUUUACAGUUAAUUCUUGGCGGAUGUCAGCCAAAAACUUGUUCAAUUGAUUCCUAAAUUUGUAAAUUUACAGAUUAUUACACUGGUGGAGCUGGUGACGGCAACUAAAGUUUAACCUCCGUCGUGAACGAUACAAGUUUGGAAUAAGCUAAUGAGCUGGCUCGCCUUCUUCUUCUUGAUCUUCUUUUAGAUCCUCGAGGCACCCUUAGGUUCUCUCUCGUGUUUGCGUACGCCAUAACUCCUUCCACUUUUCAACUCGUCAAGCGUCUUCGCAGUUCAAGGCUUUAUCGAUAGUUGAGUUGUCUGAGUUUCAAGAAGUAUCCAAAGAGACUCUGUUUACACCUCCCGUCGUUGUCCCAAUCACUAAUGCUACAGGACGAUUGACAGUUGCUUCACCUUUUGAGAAGAUGAAUAGGGGUUUUGAUUUCUUGUUUCUUGUUUUUUGUCUUUUUUAUUUUUUAUAUUUAAAUUCAAAGUUACCAUUUU
rnacentral:lncRNA from 1 species